rnacentral:sRNA from 1 species
AUUUAAACACCUUGGAUUUUCUACCGGGUCUUGGCUUCUGUUCCCGCAGGGCAUGAGCCUGAGGAGCAGGACGCGGUGGGGGUCACAGGAGGCUGCUGCUCAGAGUCUGCAGGCGGGAAAGGGGUCCCACCUGUCUGGGGUGGGCAGCCUCGUGGUCCAGGGCAGUGCAGGGCAGAGCCUGGGCUGUGCAAUCACAGCCGCUGCCUUUCUCCUGGGAGCCUCCACUUCCUCCAAAACGGGCCUUGUGCCAGCCCCACCCGCGGCGAGCGGACAAGGCCACGAGGGCAGGGCCCUGAGUACCUGGGCGGGGGGGACACUCCCAGGGGGCACAGAGGGGGCUCCCACCUGGGCACCUGCCUCCUGCCCUUCUCUUCUUCCUCCACGUGCCAGGUGGGGCCCUGGGUUUGAGGAGCCGAGCCUGGACGCACGCCCUGCCCGCAGGAAGCUGGAGGCACGCAAGUGGCCUCGGAAAUCGCGGCCGCGAGAACAGUAGCCGCCCAGGGACUAAGGGGGCUUCUGGGAGGACACACGGCUGGCCCAGGGUGAGGGGAGCCACUGCAGGGCGCUCCCCAGGCCCAGGGCCCGUCAGGGGACAGUACGGUGACCCGGCCUGCAGGUGGCAGUCGGUUCUGUGUGUCUGGGGCCCACAGAACAGGUUGGGUGGGGGCUGGGGCAGGGGCAGCAGAAGUGGGCAGGGCCUGGGGGGCUCAGGCACUGGGCGUGGAGAGCAGACAGGAAGCUCCAGUGGGCACCACCCCGGGACCGCGGCUCCCACCCGUGCUGCCCCCACCCAUGGCCACGGCCACCGGGAACAGUGGGACCUGGGGUCUCCGAGGGACUCAGCAGGGCGGGCACAGACCAGUGGAGUCCGGGCUAGAGAGGGCCAGCUCCUAGCCUCUUGCUUCCUGGGCUGAGGACAUGGGGAUCCAAGGCCAGUGGGUCUGCAGGGCCCAGCCCGGCUGCCUGAUAAGAUAGGCCGAGCUCCUCCCUGCACGGCUGCAAAGACGCCCACCUGUCUUAUUGGAUCCCCACAGGGAUAGACCCACCAGGCGGCCCCCGUGUCUCACUCUGUCAGCAGGUGGGGGCGUGGUGCUCCCCAGGGACCUGCUGCCGAGGGGCAGUUUCUGGAGGCUGGGGGCACUGGCCGGGCUCUAGGCCUGCUCUGCCCUUGCUGUGGGGAAGGCCACCCCGAUAGGGGUCAAGUUGCUCAAAUCUGCGUUUGGAGGGUGUGUGGCCGAGGGCUCCCCUUCUGGAGACCCAGACACCGCCUGGGCUCCGGGCGGCAGAGGCUGAGGUGUUGGGGGCUGAGCCCCUAUGUCAGCAACACCUCAGGCCUGCGCUUUAGGACAGGGGAGAAGUCAGUUUCCGCCAAAUGCCCCCUCGGACCAGCCGAGGACUGUGCCAGGAAACUGACAUGCUCAGCGCUCAAGCCAGCUGGGACAGCGACUGAGCCCAGAGAGACGGAGCAAGUUGCCUGAGGUCACAGAGCAGGGACUUGGACACCAGGCAGCCGGCUCCACAGAGGCCCUCUCUCCUCCCUGCCUCCUGACCCUCAGACGCCUCCGCCCCGCGGGCCCCGACAGAGAAGCAGGCCGUGAGGCAGGCAGGAGCCGCGUGUCUGGGCCCAGCACACCUGCCAAGCUCUCUAGCCUCUCCUGGCCUCAGUGUCCUUGUCUGGGAGAUGGUCCAGCUGAAAAUCCCCAGCAUCCACAAGAAAGGGUGGAAGCCCUGGGGGCCCUGGCCUGGCCCGGGUGCAGGCUGCAUGGCCGGGCGGGGCGGCGUCUCCUUUCACAGCUUCCCUGUCUGUCCGCAGCCUCCAGGAGCCCCAUACAGGGCUGGGGCUCUGUGCCCCCAACUCACACCCGUCAGCUCCCCCAGGAGGAGCAGGCUGGGCCCAGAGCCGCAGGGUGGGCUGCAGGGAGGUCUGACUUAGCUGGGGAAAGUGCCAUCCCUGCCAUUGCUAGUGACAAGCUUGGGCUGCUGUGGCCCCAGCACAGAUUCAACACUCACUGCGUCAUGUGCCAGCUGUUGCACACUCAUCUCCACGCCCAACUCACAGGAAGCAAGGCUGGGAAGGAGGGAACUGGCCCCAGGCCACACAGAUGCUGAGAGUUGGGAAUAUGAUCGGGUGCAGUGGCUCACACCUGUAAUUCCAGCACUUGGGGAGGCCAAGGCGAGUGGAUUGCUUGAGCCCAGGAGUCUGAGACCAGCCUGGGCAACAUGGUAAAACCCCAUCUCUAC